UCAUANGCUUGUCUCAAAGAUUAAGCCAUGCAUGUCUAAGUAUAAGCAAUUAUACAGCGAAACUGCGAAUGGCUCAUUAAAUCAGUUAUCGUUUAUUUGAUAGUACCUUACUACUUGGAUAACCGUGGUAAUUCUAGAGCUAAUACAUGCUAAAAACCCCGACUUCGGAAGGGAUGUAUUUAUUAGAUUAAAAACCAAUGCCCUUCGGGGCUCCCUGGUGAUUCAUAAUAACUUUUCGAAUCGCAUGGCCUUGCGCCGGCGAUGGUUCAUUCAAAUUUCUGCCCUAUCAACUUUCGACGGCUGGGUCUUGGCCAGCCAUGGUGACAACGGGUAACGGAGGGUUAGGGCUCGACCCCGGAGAAGGAGCCUGAGAAACGGCUACUACAUCCAAGGAAGGCAGCAGGCGCGCAAAUUACCCAAGANCGACUCGGGGAGGUAGUGACAAUAAAUACUGAUACAGGGCUCUUUUGGGUCUUGUAAUUGGAAUGAGUACAAUUUAAUUCCCUUAACGAGGAACAAUUGGAGGGCAAGUCUGGUGCAGCCGCGGUAAUUCCAGCUCCAAUAGCGUAUAUUAAAGUUGUUGCAGUUAAAAAGCUCGUAGUUGAACCUUGGGCCUGGCUGGCCGGUCCGCCUCACCGCGUGCACUGGUCCGGCCGGGCCUUUCCCUCUGGGGAGCCGCAUGCUUUUUAUUAAGCGUGUCGGGGAACCAGGACUUUUACUUUGAAAAAAUUAGAGUGUUCAAAGCAGGCUUAUGCUCGAAUACAUUAGCAUGGAAUAAUAGAAUAGGACGUGCGGUUCUAUUUUGUUGGUUUCUAGGACCGCCGUAAUGAUUAAUAGGGACAGUCGGGGGCAUCAGUAUUCAAUUGUCAGAGGUGAAAUUCUUGGAUUUAUUGAAGACUAACUACUGCGAAAGCAUUUGCCAAGGAUGUUUUCAUUAAUCAGGAACGAAAGUUAGGGGAUCGAAGACGAUCAGAUACCGUCGUAGUCUUAACCAUAAACUAUGCCGACUAGGGAUCGGACGAUGUUAUUUUUUGACUCGUUCGGCACCUUACACGAAAGUACAAGUUUCUGGGUUCUGGGGGGAGUAUGGUCGCAAGGCUGAAACUUAAAGGAAUUGACGGAAGGGCACCACCAGGGGUGGAGCCUGCGGCUUAAUUUGACUCAACACGGGGAAACUCACCAGGUCCAGACACGAUGAGGAUUGACAGAUUGAGAGCUCUUUCUUGAUUUCGUGGGUGGUGGUGCAUGGCCGUUCUUAGUUGGUGGAGUGAUUUGUCUGCCUAAUCGCGAUAACGAACGAGACCUUAACCUGCUAAAUAGCCCGCGUUGCUUUGGCAGCGCGCUGGCUUCUUAGAGGGACUAUCGGCUCAAGCCGAUGGAAGUUUGAGGCAAUAACAGGUCUGUGAUGC
rnacentral:rRNA from 1 species